GGUUCUUUGUCAAGUUCAAAUCAGAGGUUGACAUAUCAGCCCACCUCUUUUAAAGACAUUUCCAGUUGCAGAACUGAUUCUCCCCAGGCCAGCUCUUUCUACUUGUCUAGGAGCUCAUUCACGCGGGAAACAAAGCAUUCUCAGUUUGGGACCUAUUCUACUUGUUCCUCUGGAAACAGACCCAAAAAUGAGAAUUCAAGAGUGAAUUGUUUCUAUGAGUGAAGGAAACACCAGCAGGGAGACAGCAGUAGGAGCAUCUGGAAGGAAGCUCCCCAGGUGCCACCCCAUGCUCCUAGGGCGGAGAAGCUGAGCGGGUCCCAGCACCCAGAAGGAAGCUCCUAGGGCAGAAGAGGUGAGCUGCACGGGUGCCAGAAGCACCCUCACCCCCGUGGAAAUGAAGAGACACGUAAACAAACCUCAAAAACAGACUUCCAGAUCAUCUACAGCAACCCCAAAGGGAAAUGAGAUGGAACAAUCUG